rnacentral:rRNA from 1 species
UACGUAGGGUGCGAGCGUUGUCCGGAAUUACUGGGCGUAAAGAGCUCGUAGGCGGUUUGUCGCGUCGUCUGUGAAAUUCUGCAACUCAAUUGUAGGCGUGCAGGCGAUACGGGCAGACUUGAGUACUACAGGGGAGACUGGAAUUCCUGGUGUAGCGGUGAAAUGCGCAGAUAUCAGGAGGAACACCGGUGGCGAAGGCGGUUCUCUGGGCAUGUCCUGACGCUGAGGAGCGAAAGUGUGGGGAGCGAACAGG